CGGGAUGCGGGUUUCCUGACUGGUUCCCCGCUGAUCACGGGCCGUGAGAGGCCGUCAAGCAGACCUCCCCGUGGUGACCGCGGGGCACCAUAAGGACCACACGCUGUCUUUAAAAAGUGUCCUCCGUCUGCAACUAAUGACGGCCGUGGAGGAAGAGGCUUGUCCCUCCCCACUUCAGAAUGCUUUUUUGGGGACACUGUCACAGUCAGGAGCCAAAGGCCACGGGUGCAGACAGACGGCACUGAGAAUCUCGAAACGGCCCCCUUGAGCCCCCUCCCUCGGUCUGAGCCAGGCUCCUCUCUCUUCGCCACCUGUGCGUGUGCUCACAUCACUCUAGCCGUUAAUCUUCUGCAGAAGAAAAACAGCUCUUCCAGAACCUCGCCACACCCCCAUGAAGAGGUGGGAUCUACAUCCCCUCCCUGUGUGCGAGCCUAGGUGAGCCUUUCAGGCGGCCUUAAGAGAGUAUGGCUGAGUCCUGAGAGGCUACACGUCUUCCGCGUGACUCCAGGAAAUCCGUCCUUUGGUAGCCAGCCUCCGUACUACACGGAAGCCCAAGCCACCCGGACGGAACCAAGGCCCUGGCCCUCGGCCAUCACACGGCAGCCCCGUGAGUGAGCCGUCCUAGAGCGGGACGCUCCAGCCCAGCCCCGGGGGCAGACCUUUCCCACCAGGCUCUGUCCACCCUGCAGCUUUCUGAGCUGGAUAGGUUGCUGGGGUUUUAAGCCACUAAGGGAUGAGUGGUUUGUUCACGGUGACAGACACCGAGGCCUCCUCCUCUUCCUCCGUCAUGCUCUCUGUGGGGUCGGCCCCCGCACACUUUCUGCAGAGCCUGGCUCGUCCUCUUCUCCCCGUCAGUUACCUCUGGACCCUUGUGAUGCAUCCUCAAACCCAUGAAAAAGAAAAUGCGG